CUCGUAGGCGGUUCGUCGCGUCCGGUGUGAAAGUCCAUCGCUUAACGGUGGAUCCGCGUCGGGUACGGGCGGGCUUGAGUGCGGUAGGGGAGACUGGAAUUCCUGGUGUAGCGGUGGAAUGCGCAGAUAUCAGGAGGAACACCGAUGGCGAAGGCAGGUCACUGGGCCAUUACUGACGCUGAGGAGCGAAAGCAUGGGGAGCGAACA
rnacentral:rRNA from 1 species